GACGAACGCUGGCGGCGUGCUUAACACAUGCAAGUCGAACGGGUCUGCCCUGUUUUUUGCGGGGUGGGUCAGUGGCGAACGGGUGAGUAACACGUGAGUAACCUGCCCCUCACUUCUGGAUAACCGCUUGAAAGGGUGGCUAAUACGGGGUGUUCUGGCUGUGCCGCAUGGUGUGGCUGGGAAAGAUUCACUUUUGUGGUGUUUUGGUGGGGGAUGGGCUCGCGGCCUAUCAGCUUGUUGGGGGGGUGAUGGCCUGCCAAGGCUUUGACGGGGAGCCGGCCUGAGAGGGUGGGCGGUCACACUGGGGCUGAGCUACGGCCCAGACUCCUGCGGGAGGCAGCAGUGGGGGGUAUUGCACAAUGGGCGGAAGCCUGAUGCAGCGACGUCGCGUGAGGGAUGGAGGCCUUCGGGUUGUGAACCUCUUUCGCCGGUGAAGAAGGUCCUGCUCUUUGUGGUGGGGUUGACGGUAGCCGGGUUAUGAAGCGCCGGCUAACUACGUG
rnacentral:rRNA from 1 species